ensembl:ncRNA F56D2.9 ncRNA
CUAUAUACAGAAAGUUUCGCGUAAAGUGGGGUUCAGUAAGCGGAUAGCCUCGGGUGAGGCUGACAAUAAGUGUGCGAACGUGGUCAAGGCCAGUCAACCGGUGGACAAGAGAUGCAAUGGAUCGGUCGGAGACGCAGAUAUCUUUCC